AAGAGAUUACUUGCAAGCUCUGCGGCCAGACUUGGGGUGUAGGAAGUGUUUGUUUUUGUUUCUGUCACCAGGCAGCAGGGAACUCGUCGCCUUUGUUCUGGAGGUCAUGCUGCUAGAGAUGGCAAAUAUUGACAUACAUGGAGGUGACUGAAGCAUCUGAACAAGGAACA
rnacentral:lncRNA from 1 species